rnacentral:rRNA from 1 species
UACGGAGGGUGCGAGCGUUAUCCGGAUUCACUGGGUUUAAAGGGUGCGUAGGUGGGAAUGUAAGUCAGUGGUGAAAUCUCUGAGCUUAACUCAGAAACUGCCAUUGAUACUAUGUUUCUUGAAUUUUCUGGAGGUCAGCGGAAUAUGUCAUGUAGCGGUGAAAUGCUUAGAUAUGACAUAGAACACCAAUUGCGAAGGCAGCUGGCUACAGGGAUAUUGACACUGAGGCACGAAAGCGUGGGGAUCAAACGGG